AAAAUUCAGUGUGUGUGUGUGUAUAUAUAUAUAUAUAUGCUGACAUGUAUGAAGACAUUCACAUAUGGUAGAACUAAGAGGACGGUAGAAUGCUCAAAUAAUGGAAUAGAGUCGAGAUUAUGAUGAGAAAGGAUAGUAAAUAGCUAUCACUAUGUGAAUGUCUUAUUUUCUUUCACUAUGUAAUAGCUAUCACUAACUUUUGUUUUUACUGUCUUAUUGUAUUUCCCAUGUUGAGAGAUAGAUCUAAAAGGACAGUAAAAUGCUUGAAUAAUGGAACAGAGUCGAGAUUAUGCCCGAGAUAUCUGAUGUUACAAUAACAACUGCAAAUACAAGUUGAGAGGAAGAUCAUAUUCCUUUUGUGGUGCAGCUGGGGUUUUUUAUCAUAUGUGGUGCUUUUCAUUGUAUGACCAUAUGAAGCUGCAGAUGCAAAUAUUUCUUAAGGUACAUGAUGAUCCUUCUAACGCUCCAGUUUGAUGGUCCAACUCAAUGGCCCUUACACCACUUUGAGGGACUGCUGGUAUAGCUCAUAGCAAUUGAUGUAAGUCCCUUACUUUCGUAAUACAAUACUUGGAGUGACUGCUGUUAGAGCUCAUAGCAAUUACUGCACUCAUUGCAUUAAAAAAAGGUUCCCAGUUAAUCAAAUAUAGCCGGAAAGGAAAGCCAAAACUUCUUCCAUUCAGAAUUUCAACUGGUUGAUUUACAGUUUGACAUUCUCGACGAUGAUGAUAAUGGAGUUCAGGAUUAUUUCGCCCCGAACAACAAGGACGGAUAUGCUGUCUAUGCCAACAAGGGGGUAAGGUCAAUCUUUGAUUUUGAGUCUUUCCGAAAGCUGCUAUCAUCUCCAAAACCCUUAUUCUGCGGAGCCGGUACUGGGAUGUGACAGUAAUUGCUGUUGUAAAGAGUCCCUAUAUGCUGCUUAAAGGCUGGUAUCGACUGACUCAUGAUCUGAUUACUCCAGAAGCAACUCGCGGGCGUAAUUUCCAGUUUGUGUUGCAUCCGACUUGGGAUAUGUGGACGGAGGAGCAAGCAUUAGGUAUAGUCGAUCCAUCAUUGGAUCAGUCAUAUCCUGCACAUGAGGUUUCGUGAUGCAUCCAUAUCAGUCUACUUUGCGUGCAAGAAAUUGAAUCGGAUAGGCCAACCAUGUCGGAAGUUGUUUUUCAUGUUGAGUAAUGAAACAAUUCUUCCCUGUCCCAAGAAACCUGCAUUUAUAUUACAAUCCAGAAAUCCAAACUCAGAAGCGUCAAAAAGAGAAAUUUGUUCGAUAAACGACUUAACAAUAAAUGCAGUUGAAGCUCGCUAAUGACCUAAGUUGUAUGUUGUAUUCAAAUAAAAAUUUCUUGCCAUUGUCUUUUGUAAUGUCAUGUGUUACCAAACUUAAGAGCAACUCUACCGUUGCAAAUGCCCCCUCGAGCUAUUCACUAUUUAAUCCAUCCAGUGAACAGUAACUGACUUUUGUAUUUCC